rnacentral:ncRNA from 1 species
UCUGAAGUUUCCCUCAAGAUAGCUGGAAUGUGUAAUGAAGACUGCUAUAUUCGGUAAAGUGAAUGAUUAAAGGAUUUGCAAACUUUCAAUAAGUAUGAUGUGUCGCUUGCUUUAUGGAGCGUAGACAGUGAAUGUGCGCUCAAAGUGGAUCACUUCUGAUAAGCAGAAAUGGCGUUGUGGGAAUGAACCAGAUGUUGAUUUAAGAUAGAAGUCUUCAAUGAGUCAAAGCAUAAGUGAAGUAUGA